AAAAAAGUUUGAACUGAAAGACAUAUUAUGUUCCCUCUGGUUUAUUGCCUUAUUGAGUUGGGGUUGCUUCUAUCGAUGGCAACGGCAUUGGUUGAAAGGACCUUCUCGGCAAUGAAGAUCAUCAAGACAGAGUUGCUUACCAAGAUGUCCAAUGGUUGGCUUGAUGACUUAAUGGUGUGCUACAUCGAGGGAGAGAUAUUUAAAAGGACUUGA
rnacentral:rRNA from 1 species